ACGAAACGCUGGCGGCGUGCUUAACACAAUGCAAGUCGAACGAUGAAGCCCUUCGGGGUGGAUUAGUGGCGAACGGGUGAGUAACACGUGGGCAAUCUGCCCUUCACUCUGGGACAAGCCCUGGAAACGGGGUCUAAUACCGGAUAACACUCUGUCCCGCAUGGGACGGGGUUAAAAGCUCCGGCGGUGAAGGAUGAGCCCGCGGCCUAUCAGCUUGUUGGUGGGGUGAUGGCCUACCAAGGCGACGACGGGUAGCCGGCCUGAGAGGGCGACCGGCCACACUGGGACUGAGACACGGCCCAGACUCCUACGGGAGGCAGCAGUGGGGAAUAUUGCACAAUGGGCGAAAGCCUGAUGCAGCGACGCCGCGUGAGGGAUGACGGCCUUCGGGUUGUAAACCUCUUUCAGCAGGGAAGAAGCGAGAGUGACGG
rnacentral:rRNA from 1 species